AGCGUGAAGGAUGACUGCCCUAUGGGUUGUAAACUUCUUUUAUAAGGGAAUAAAGUGAGGGACGUGUCCCUUUUUGUAUGUACCUUAUGAAUAAGGAUCGGCUAACUCCGUGCCAGCAGCCGCGGUAAUACGGAGGAUCCGAGCGUUAUCCGGAUUUAUUGGGUUUAAAGGGAGCGUAGGUUGACAUAUAAGUCAGCUGUGAAAGUUUACGGCUCAACCGUGAAAUUGCAGUUGAUACUGUAUGUCUUGAGUGUACAAGAGGUGGGCGGAAUUCGUGGUGUAGCGGUGAAAUGCUUAGAUAUCACGAAGAACUCCAAUUGCGAAGGCAGCUCACUGGGGUACAACUGACACUGAGGCUCGAAAGUGUGGGUAUCAAACAGGAUUAGAUACCCUGGUAGUCCACACAGUAAACGAUGAAUACUCGCUGUUUGCGAUAUACAGUAAGCGGCCAAGCGAAAGCAUUAAGUAUUCCACCUGGGGAGUACGCCGGCAACGGUGAAA
rnacentral:rRNA from 1 species